UGCAUUUUUCGUUGUUCGUAGGAUCCUUGAGAAAAAAAAAAAAGGCAGAGUUGCAGUCGACAGUAUUAAAAUAUUAUUUCUCUUGCUGCCUGUUGCAAUGUUCUUCCUCCAUAAGUGGAGGUGGGGCCAGGAGGACAGAGAAUAGUAUAACUCUACCGGGAGAAGAACUGCCUUCUGGGCAGGGCCUUGAAGGCCCUUGCCUCUCGUGUUUAGGGGCCGAGGAAGGGCAGGGGCCAGGGAACAGCCACUGCUAAGGGAUGCCUUUGCAUUCCAAAGGACUGUUUCUGCCCAGAGAGUGUAGAGUCGUGGGAGCCACACCCACCUCGCCCUUCUGGCAGUUUAGUUAAUUAUUGAAAAGUGCUUCGGAAGCACAAAGGGCUGGAGAGACUCCAUGUGCCCUUGCUCCGGCCUGUGUGGGAGCUGGCAUUUGUGAGACACUGAGGCUCCUCUGGGAGGCUGUGGAACAAGAAACACUUCUUUCCUCUUGCAGUUCAGUCUUUAGGACUUGUCCAGGAAACAGAGAGACAGUCCAGGGACUGCAUUCUAUCUAUCUCCAGAGACAAGUUAAGGUGCUUUUUUUUUUUUUGGUGAUAGGAUUUGUAAGAUAUUUAAAUAAAUAAGCCACAUCAGAUUUUAGUUUUGUUUUCUUGUUUUACCUUUUGUUUUAAAAGUUUACAUUCAGGUCAUUUAUAUAUAAACGAGAUCAUAUAAUAUGUUUCUGUUCUGUGACUUAAAUUUUUUGAAACUUAACAAUGUUUGCUGGAGUUCUUUUUGUGUUAGUACAUAAAAGCUUCCCUCAUUUUCUUUGAAGGCUACAUUCUUGCCACAUUAUGGACACAUAGGUGGUUUGCCAUUUUUCUGCAUCAAACAAACAAUACUACUGCAAGCUUUUUGUUCACAAAUUUAUGUGCUUAUGCAUCAAUAGUUCUGAAGGAUAUAUUCCUGAAGUAAGAUUUCUGCAUCAAUAGGCAAGCACAUUUGAAUUUUGGGUAAAUAAUGCCAAAGCUUCUCCCUGAAAAUUCUGUUCUAAUUUACAAAGAUACCAAAAUACUCAUGAACAUUGAACAUUAUAAAUUUAAAAAGUACUGCCAGCAUCAUAUGCAGAAAAAGCUGCAUCAUUUAAGAUUGCAUCUUUUCAUUGCGCAUCUUUUCAUAUGCCUAUUGACCAUUUGGAUUUUUGGUAGCAUUUUCUCGAAGUAUAAAAAUACAGAAAAGUAUAAAAGUAUACAGAAAAGUAUACUACUGAAAGAAUUAACAGAAUUCUUCUCAUACCCACCACCCAGGUCAAGAAACAGAAUAUUAUCAGAACUUUUCCCACCUCCCCCAGAGUAAUCACUAUUCUGCAAUAUAACUUGCAUAGAUUAGACGUGCCUGGUUUUAAACUUCAUAAAAUGGAAUCAUACGGCAUACACUCAUGUCUAGCUUCCUUCGUUCAACAUUAUGAGUCAUUCAUGUACUUGCUUGUUGCUCUAAUAUAUUCAUUUACAUUGCUUAUUAUAUUCCAUUAUGUGAAUAUACCACAAUUUAUUUACUGAUGGAUAUUUGGAUUCCUUCCAACUUUCAAUUACUAGCAAAUAAUGAUGCUAUGGGUGUUCUUGUGCAUGUCUUUCAGAAUACAUGUCCAUACAUUUUUGUUGGGUAUAUUAUCUAGGAAUGAAAUUUUGGGGUCAUGAGUAAUAUCAACCUGGCCAAUUAUAUUUGUGAAUUUUCUAUAACUCUUCCUUGUACAUUAAUUAUUGGGUGGUUUGUAUGUAUUCUAUUUAUUUUGGGUGUUUUUUCUGUGUUAUAGCUCUUAUAAAUAUUUUCUCCUGGUCUUUAUUUAUAUUGACUUUUACUUCACAGAGUUCAACAUUUUUAUGCAAUCAAGGUUAUAAAUCUUUUUCUUUAUGGUUUCUGAGCUUUACAUUUUGUUUAGAAAGUCUUUCCCUAUAUCAAGAUUGUAAAAUAUUCUCUUAUGUUUCCUUUGAAUACUCAUUUUGAUUUUUACAUUAGGAUUUUUAAUCAGUCUGAAAUUCAUGAUGGUGAGAGGCAGAGGCGAAUCUAUGCCCAACACUCAGGGCAUGAAUAAAAUGAUACCAUUUGCUGUCUGGAUUUUUAGAUAUUUAUUUUAAAAAAUUCCAAGUUAGGUGAUGACACCAACGAGCUAAGAAACUGUCAAAAAAAUUUUUUUUAAUUUUUUUUUCCACUUUGUAAUAGUUUUCCCUAACAUAAGCCUCAGAUCUUAAAUGGGCAAAAGUUCUGUAUUAGUGGUUGCUACCACAAAUGCCAUGCUUGUAAAUGGUCAGUGACAAUUCAUUUACUGUGUAUUUAUGGAACUUUAAAGUGCAGUUCUCGUGGAUUUUUGAGUCUGAUAAGGAGAAAGACUCCAUCCUAGAAUCUUCAAGGCAGACUGAUGGCACAUUGGAUCUGGGCUCUCAGGCCAGGAAACCCACAGCUUCUUCUUCUGUGCUAAGAGCCCAGCUCCUUUCCAUCUGAGCAGAUGCCCUCAGAUAGGUUAUGUGAUCUCAACCCAUCCUCAGUAUAGAAAGAGGUCCAGUUAAGACUUUAUGCAGUCCCCAGGGUCAGCUUUUGUUUAUAGACUUGACUUUCUCACCUAAGUCUCACCAGACAAGUCUGCUCACCUAAGGGAAACUGUUUUCUUGCCUACCUGGAUGAUGGGUGUAGGGCCACAUAUGGAGAAGCAUGUGAGAACUCAGUUUGUCCUCCCAGUUUGUCUGAAAUGGAGCACUGGCUUGUUGUACCUGUUAACUAGCAGUGCUCAGUGUGGAGUUAUCUGGUUGUUCACAGACUUUCCACUGGCUCACAGUGUGAGCUGGUUUUAUUCUGUUUGCCCCUCCUUUUUAAAACCUUUUUCUUUACACAUUUUGGAGAAGGCUGGUUACCUGUGGUUUAUAAGCUAUAUGACUGGAGCUUGAGCUGGAAUGAGAAGAAACAUCCCCCUAGCUUAACAACGAGCUUGGUUUCCAGCUGGUGAACCGCACAUUGCCUGGUGAACCAUCUGAGCUGGUGCACUUGGAAAUUGCUCUGCUGACCAAGCUCCAAAAAUAUAAUCAAGUUCCCCUGCUCCAGGCUCUUCUGGUUAUGGGAAGCGAGUGUGUUUUCAGACCAACAUGUCAGAAUUAUGAGGAAGAAACUUGGCUGUGGAACAAACUACGUGAUAUGCUUGACAAGAACUGAGUAAAAAUACGUCUCAGAUUUUCUGAGGUGGCCUUCCAUUUUUGGUUCAGAAAUAGGACCCAGUAGCCACAGAAAGAGAAGCACCUUUGCGGCACCAUUAGGGUCACAGAGAGUCUGGAGUCGGAGAAGACAAUGGCAACCCACUCCAGUACUCUUGGGAAAAUCCCAUGGACGGAGGAGCCUGGUAAGCUGCAGUCCAUGGGGUUGCUAGGAGUCGGACACAACUGAGCGACUUCACUUUCACUUUUCACUUUCAUGCAUUGGAGAAGGAAAUGGCAACCCACUCCAGUGUUCUUGCCUGGAGAAUCCCAGGGACGGGGGAGCCUGGUGGGCUGCCGUCUAUGGGGUUGCACAGAGUGGGACAUGACUGAAGUGACUUGGCAGUAGCAGCAGAGUCUCGAGUAAGGAACCAACAGAGGAUGUUUCUGCACAGAAAAAUGGGGUGUCUCUAGAACUUAGUCCUGUUUCUACCAGGGGUAGGUGGAAAUUGAAAAGAGAAUUUGUGAUCAUUUGCUCUAAAUGAGAAGACCAAGGUGCAAAGUCCCCAGAAGGAUGGAGCAGUGAGGAAAUGUGAGGUGGCGGGAAAUCACGAGCCCAUUUACAUAAACGUUUAGCUCCUUCUGGGUUCGCCUAAUCCUAGUCCUUUGGAGUUUGCCUUUUACGAGGGUAAACAUGGUUUAAGAGUGAGCAAAUAUUAGUUCACAUAAUUAAAACCUGUUGAGUUGAACAGGAAACGUUCAAGGGAAAUCUGCAGGUGUCUGCAAGCAACGGUGACUCUGGAAGGAUCUCCGUAUACUGGCACCUUUUCACCCAAGGGGAGUGUCCCUGGAAGGAAGCCACCAAGGACAGGAGAGGAAACAGACAGCUUGUAAAAAACUGGAGCAGCGUGGAAAGGUUCUGAACUGAUUAAUAAGCUGCUAGCCCUGGGGAGGGUAUAAAAGGCAUCUGGGAUAUUUGCAUCUUUGUUUAUUGAAGACGGGAAGGCGUCUUACAACUCUCUCUCUCUCUCCCUAAUUCAUUCAGGACAUGAUAUUUCCAAGACUGCUGCCAUCUCAAGCCUUGAAUCUGUUUUCAGCUUCUCUCCACGUUUCAUCACACAUGUAUAUUAAAAAAAAAAAAAAAGAUGGUUCCAAUAUGACUUUAAAAAGAAAAGCCAGCCUGACUUCUAAAAUCCAAUUUUGCCCCAUGGAUGUGUUUUCUUCCUGGAGGGGGCCAUGUGAUCUCUCCCCUCCUCACCAUCCUGCAUUCUCUGCAUUCCAAGGCCUGGUCACAGCCAGACAGAAACCCUUAUCCUCACGCUCUGCUCUCCGUAGUGAAUGAGAGGGGGGUCUUGUUCAGAUCAAGGGUGGAGACAAGCGGGUGUGUAACUCACCAUAAUCCAUGGCAAGAAAUAAUACAUGUCAUGAGAGAAAAAUAAAGUGCUGAUGGAAAAUUAAUCUCAUUAGAGAGAUUUGUUUGUGGUGGCAUUUGAAAUGAGCCUGAAAAAAUGAGUAGGAUUUUGACAGAUGGCAAAGAGUAUCACCGGUAUUCUAUGGUGUUAACUUUCAAUAAAGUCAAAUGAAUCUGAAUCUGUUUAGAAUUCUAUAAACUUUUGUGAGGCUGGGCCUGGGCACACUGUUCUGCUGGUAGUAGUACCCUAAUUAUGCUCUGGAGCAUCAUCUCCCAAUUUCAACCAACCUCCUGGCUCCAGGUUCAGGCAUGUGACCCAGACUAACCAAUAAGAGAACCACAUUCCCUUAACACAGUGAUUGAUCCAGUUGUAAGCAUGUGACCCAGGAUGAGCCAAUUCUAGAGCUUUUUCUGGAACCAUUGGGUAAAAGGCAUCCUCUUUUUGCUGGGAUUGCUGAGGUGGUGGGUUGAUAUGCAGGAGCCCCAGGUGGCCAGUCUUGUUACCAAAGAGCUAGAACCUGAGAGAUGGAGAGAUUCCUGUGAGCACUUGGAGCCAGCUGUGCCUGAAAUUCUACUUUGGACUUUUUAGUCAGGGCAAUAAAUUCACUUUUUAAUAAGGCAUUUUGUGUUUUUCUCUUGCAAACAAAAAUGUCCUAACCUAUACAGAAAAUUUUAGUCUGCUUUAACAAACAAAAAACCCUAGUGGGGCAAGGGUGGUUACAGAUGCACAGAGCAGUUUCCUAGCAAAAAGAAAUCUUCCUACUGCUAACAUUUCCAGGUGCCAGUGACUAAGAAUUUGGAGACUGUAUCCUUAACCCCCCUGGUCUGAGGCUGCUCACCAAUCUAAGUGACUCCUGUGUGCUGGAUAUUCCCCAAUGAAUCAGAAAUGAAAUACACAGCACAAUAGCCACAAAGCAUUGAAAACAGCUCGUUUGCCUUUUGUCUCUUUCUCCAAGCUUUGUUUUUUCUGGGUCACACUUUGUAAGUGAAGAGUCAUAGUGAUAAUUCUGUUUGGAUUUAUUAACAAUUGAAUAGACCUUUGAGAAAAGAUUUGUUAAUUGUCAGAAGCAAAGUCACCGCAGAAGCAUUGUAGACAGAGUGGGAUGGUUGCCUUGAGCCAACUAAUUCUCUGCCCCUUCAGGGAAAACUCUUGGAUGUUUGAAUUAAGUGCCACAUCUGGAAAUGCAGAAAGAGAAUUGCUUUUAUUCAAUGCAUAGUAUGUCCUUGGUACAAAGAACAGCAUUUUGCCUCCAUUCUCUCUCAAUUUCAUCAGCUCUACAAGGUAGGUCUUAGUCCUGUUUUACAGGUAGGGAAUGAUACAGACACUGCCAGUUGCUACCCCCAAAUCCAUCCUCUUUUUGUUCCUUACAGAUAGAUAACCCCAAGCAAUUACUGCUUGUAGUUCAGCGUUUAUACUCCAUGGGUGAUUGCUGUCAACAUUAAUCAUUUUGCAAACAUAUGUCAUGUCUUUCCUGCAGCUAUGAAUGGCCAUGUGAUAUGGUUCUGACCAGUGAGACUUAAGUAGAAGUCUUCUGGGGAUUUCUGGGGAAGUGUGGCUGUCCUUGUAUGGACAUUGCUCCUUCCUCCUGUUCUUUCAACACGGAUGUGAGGCUGGUGCUCGAACAGCUAUGUUGUGACCUUGAGGCAACCGUAAGGAGGACAGCCAUAUCCUAAGGGUGGUGAAGCAGGAAUACAGAACACUGGG
ensembl:lncRNA